UUUUAUGGAGAGUUUGAUCCUGGCUCAGGAUGAACGCUGGCGGCGUGCCUAAUACAUGCAAGUCGAGCGAACAGACGAGGAGCUUGCUCCUCUGACGUUAGCGGCGGACGGGUGAGUAACACGUGGAUAACCUACCUAUAA
rnacentral:rRNA from 1 species